AUCUCUGAAUAGUCAAUAAAAUGACUGGUCUUGAAAUGAUAGGUGUGGAACCACCCUCAGUCCAAUCAGCUGUGAUCAGAGACUGGGAUCGCAUGAUCCAGAGUCAGCUCAGCAGAGACCAUGGAUAAGGGCUAAAUGUAUUACCAAGUCCAAGCUAAUACUGCUUGCCACACAAUAGGCCAAUAUAUUGAGGGAUGAAGUGUUGGGGCAAAGAAUAACGACCGUAUUUGGAAAACCAGGAGACCCAGAUGAUCGUGCACCAGUGUCCCAAGAACUGUCUUACCCAGACCUAUGCAGGAGAGGAAGAGAAUUUCUAAGGCCCUUUUAAGGUCCCUACUUGGGUCUGAAAAUUAAACUGACAAAUGAACAAGAAAAAAGCCCACAAAUGCAUUUAAUAUGUUUUCCAUGACAC